GGGUCGUUAGCUCAGUUGGUAGAGAAGUUGACUUUUAAUCAAU
rnacentral:tRNA from 1 species